rnacentral:tRNA from 1 species
GGAGCCAUAGCUCAGUGGUAGAGCGCUUCGUUCACAUCGAAGAGGUCUGUGGUUCAAGUCCACAUGGCUCCA